rnacentral:lncRNA from 1 species
GGCGAUGAGCAGGUUGGUGGUGAAAUCCUCCAGCUAAUUUGUCCAGCUCAACCAGCUCGCCGUGGAGUUUGCAAUCGUGGACCUCAACUCGUGGCCAUCGAUGACGACGCACGGCAUGGAGCGCCACAGGUCGCGCCACCGCGGGACAGCGCUCUCAAAUAUGGUUGAAAACAUGGAAUACUUGUAG